CCUACGGGAGGCAGCAGUAGGGAAUAUUGCUCAAUGGGGGAAACCCUGAAGCAGCAACGCCGCGUGGAGGAUGAAGGUCUUCGGAUUGUAAACCCCUUUUGUUAGAGAAGAUAAUGAGGGUAUGUAACGAUUCACCACUUGCUAAUUCCGUGCCAGCAGCCGCGGGAAUACGGAGGUGGAAAGCGUUAGUCGGAAUCACGGGGGGUAAAGGGCGCGUAGGCGGGUUAGCAAGUCUGAUGUGAAAGCCCAUGGCUUAACCAUAGAGCAGCAUUUGAAACUGGCAAUCUAGAGUGCAGGAGAGGUAAGUGGAAUUCUAGGUGUAGCGGUGAAAUGCGUAGAGAUAAGGAGGAAUACUAGUGGCGAAGGCGACCUGCUGGAACGUAACUGACGCUGAUGUGCGAAAGCGUGGGGAGCAAACAGGAUUAGAUACCCGUGUAGUC
rnacentral:rRNA from 1 species